AUCCCAAACUCCUAAUUUAUCCCUCCCUUGCCCUUUUCCCCUUUGGUAACCAUAAGUUCGUUUUCUAAGUCUGUGCGUCUCUUUCUGUUUUGUAAAUGAGUUCAUUUGUAUCAUUUUUUUAGAUUCCACGUAUAAGUGAUAUCAUA